rnacentral:rRNA from 1 species
GACGAACCGAGCGAACGUUGUUCGGAAUCACUGGGCUUAAAGGGCGCGUAGGCGGGUGCUCAAGUCCGGGGUGAAAUCCUCCAGCUCAACUGGAGAACUGCCUCGGAUACUGGGUGCCUCGAGGGUGGUAGGGGUAUGCGGAACUAUCGGUGGAGCGGUGAAAUGCGUUGAUAUCGAUAGGAACUCCGGUGGCGAAGGCGGCAUCCUGGACCAACACUGACGCUGAGGAGCGAAAGCCAGGGGAGCAAACGGG